GUGUGGGAGUUUUUAUUUGGGGUGUUGUAUGACCUGAGCAGAUGUGAACAAAUGUCUGUCUAUUUCAGAGUGGGGUAUUUAUAAGAGACCAAAGAAAUGAUUCCACCAGAGUGAGCUAUUUACUUACAGGACCGUGGGUGACUCAGACGCAACUGUACCACUGAAAAGCUUAAGGCAACAUGGAUAAUGACUCAUGAAAGAAAGAGGUAUAAUAUUUGAAAGGCUGUGCCCUUCAUUACAAAAAGAGGAGCUGUGAGACUCUCUGCUUGGAAGAAAUUGAUUGCACUUCGGGUCCGUGGCCUGUGGUUAUGCUUCUUCUGGAUCAACAGGUUACACUUAGGUCUUGAUGUCUUUUCAAGCAACUCAGAGGUCUUCCACUUCGUUGUCUAGUGACACCACUCACCUCAUGAUUGGAAUCCACAAGAGCAUCAUGUCAUGACCCUAACUGAACUCUAUUUUGUGCUAUUGGAGUCCGUCAAGAAGUGGAGCUGUCAUGAAGAUUCAGAGCAAAGCUCCUGGGGACUGCUAUGGAUUCAGAGCCAACGCCUAGCAAGGGCUG